CAAAAAUGGUACAAAACUGGGUACGUAAACUUCAAACUGCUCUUCCAACGAGUUCAUCAUAGCUCCAAUCGCCAAAAGAACAUCCUCAUGAACAACGGAUUGUUUCGGAGCGGUUUGCAUGGUUUGUAACAACAAAUUCAUAAUCUGGUCAGAAGAAGUUCGAAUAUCGGGGCCAAAGCGACGAAUUAUGCUUGUGAGAACGUUGCAGAGGUUAGAUUGAAGUUCGUCAUGAUUGGCACGGUCCUCAACAUCUAAUAUCUGACUUUGCAUUUGAAUUGAUGUUUCUAAACGAGUGAGGAUAAUCGAAAGAACGUUAGCUAUCAUAGGUAAGACUGAGUCGGAACUGAAUGUAAUUAAUGUACCGAGAGUCUCAUAGCCGGAAGUGCGCGAAUUAUUUUCAUUUCCUUUUUGAUCAGUUACAUGUAGCAAGCUUCCUAUGAUAGCUUCGUAGAAAGGAGUCAUGACUGAUGUUUGAUGAUUGUCAACUGGUGCAAAGUGACAUACUAAAUUCAUGAACGCCCAACAACAAUUGGCAACAAUACGAGGAUUAUCAGUCAAACCCUGCAGCAAAGCUGACACCAUAGGAGAAAGAUGAAUUUCAGGAUUAAUAGCAUCAGCAACAAAACUUGAAAUUUGACCCAGAGCCCAGGCAGUGGUAUCCUUAACAAAUAUAACUGGAUCCACCAUCAUAUUAAUUAAGACUGGUAGAGCUUGAUUCACAAGAGGAGUAAGCAUUGCUACGUUUGGUCCUUCAAGAACAGAUCCAAAAGCCAUGACAGCUGCUUCUCGUUGGUGCCAAUCAGGAUUUUGAAUAUUUUGUUCAACAAAUGCAAGAACAGGAUUAACAAUUAAAUCACCAACAACCUGAGCAAAAAGUUGUAAGCAAGUAGCAGCAGCCAUCGAAAUAUUCCAAUCAUCUUCAUCUGCAUCUUCAUCCUGAUUACAAAGCAAUUUCAAUAAAACAGGAAGAAUAUCAGCUGCUGCUGCUCGAGCAAAUCCAUGAUUCUGUCUUGCUGGAACUUCAUUGAGGUCCUGAGCUUCUUGAAUUUCCAAAUUCACUUCAAUUUCUUCUUCGCAAACCGUGCUCCAAAACUCAACUGCUUGAAGUGCGACCUGUUCGUUGGUAUUGUACAUU